CAGCCGCCGCGGUAAUACCGGCAGCUCGAGUGGUGGCCGCUUUUAUUGGGCUUAAAGCGUUCGUAGCUGGGUUGUUAAGUCUCUUGGGAAAUCUGGCGGCUUAACCGUCAGGCGUCUAAGGGAUACUGGCAAUCUUGGAACCGGGAGAGGUGAGGGGUACUUCGGGGGUAGGAGUGAAAUCCUGUAAUCCUCGAGGGACCACCUGUGGCGAAGGCGCCUCACCAGAACGGCUUCGACAGUGAGGGACGAAAGCUGGGGGAGCAAACCGGAUUAGAUACCCGGGUAGACCCAGCCGUAAACUAUGCGCGUUAGGUGUAUCGGUGACCACGAGUUACCGAGGUGCCGAAGGGAAACCGUGAAACGUGCCGCCUGGGAAGUACGGUCGCAAGGCUGAAACUUAAAGGAAUUGGCGGGA
rnacentral:rRNA from 1 species